AGCUUUGCGCAGUGGCAGUAUCGUAGCCAAUGAGGUUUAUCCGAGGCGCGAUUAUUGCUAAUUGAAAACUUUUCCCCAAAUUGUUUUCCUAUAGGCUUUUUUCCUUUAAAAGAUAAUAUAUAUUCAGUUUGUAU